UGUAAGCGUAUACCAAAGUUGUUGCAGUUAAAACGCUCGUAGUCGGAAUUUGGCAGUUCCGGAUGUGUGCACGUCGUGUGCGCACUUCGCGGGGAUUGCUUUUGUGGUCUUGCGUAGGAUGAGGCACUUUUAUUAGUGAACGUCCUCACGCAACCACUUUUUACUGUGAGAAAAUCAGAGUGCUCAAAGCAGGCAUUUGCCGUGAAUGUAUUAGCAUGGAAUAAUAGAAUAGGACUUGGUUCUAUUUUGUUGGUUUGUUGGGACUGAGUAAUGAUUAAGAGGGACAGGUGGGGGCAUUUGCAUUUCGGUGCUAGAGGUGAAAUUCUUAGAUUACCGAAAGACAAACUGCUGCGAAAGCGUCUGCCAAGGAUGUUUUCAUUGA
rnacentral:rRNA from 1 species